GAUGAAGAACGCAGCGAAAUGCGAUAAGUAAUGUGAAUUGCAGAAUUCAGUGAAUCAUCGAAUCUUUGAACGCACAUUGCGCCCCUUGGUAUUCCGAGGGGCAUGCCUGUUCGAGCGUCAUUAUAACCCCUCAAGCUCAGCUUGGUGUUGGGGCCUGCCGCACGGGCAGCCCUUAAAAUCAGUGGCGGUGCCAUCUGGCUCUAAGCGUAGUAAUUCUUCUCGCUAUAGAGUCCCGGUGGAUGCUUGCCAUUAACCCCCAAUUUUCUAUGGUUGACCUCGGAUCAGGUAGGGAUACCCGCUGAACUUAAGCAUAUCAAUAAGCGGACGA
rnacentral:misc_RNA from 1 species